rnacentral:lncRNA from 10 species
CUUCUUAUUGAUUGUUCUUGCUUUUUCACACGGCUCCUUAAGGUGGUGAAUUUGUAACCGAAAGGCCCAGGUGAGAUGUGCAAAUAUCACUGGAUUGGAGGAGCUCACUUGGAAAGCCAGUAUUCCUCCUGAGCUAAUGAAAAGAAAGGCUGUCGUCUUAUGCCAAAAGCAAUACCAACCUUGUUCACGGGCUGAGAUCUAGAGUGUGUAAUUCACGAAGUAUGAAUCUGCUGGGUAAUGUGAUAUGAAAAGCGAAUGCACCAUUUCUUGGUGAUGAUUCAGGUCAGCGUUGGGACCCAGGAAUCUCCUGUUAAUCAGUACCCUGGUGAUUUUGAUCCAGAGACGGGGUCUAUUAUCUGGUCCUGUUGUCAAGGCUGGUCUCAAACUCCUGGCCUCCAGCGAUCCUCCCUUUUUGGCCUCCCAAGAUGCUGGUAUUACAGGCAUGAGCCACCAUGGUCCACCCGGACUCCUUUUCAUAGGAGACAGUUCCCUAGGCAGAGACUGGGCUUGAAACAGGGGAGACAGUUUUUUAUUCUUAAGAAGUUCCUCUAAAGAAGAGGGUAGAGACUAGAACUGAAUGAGAUGGACAUAGAGAUGGCCAAGAAAAGCAUCGUCCUCUGCCAAGUCAUGGGGUCAUGUGUGGUGGAUGGUGACAUGGUGUCCUCAGCUCAGAGUCCAGCUGGGGGCUCAGAAGCAAGGUAACUGAAGGGAGAGAAUUAUUUGAGCACCUAGUGUGUGUAAGAUGCUUCACAUUUAUUAUUUCACCUAACCUCUACACAACCUGUUGUGGGUAUUACUGGUCUCAAGCUGGGAUUCAAAGCAGGUUUUUCCAACCUCAGAAUUCUUGCCAGACUGAUUAGCCUUCUGCAUCUGGAACAUAAAUGUUUUCAGGCAGCAUAAUGUGCAAGAGGUCAGAGCCUAAAGCUUUGUUAUUUUUUAAUUUCUCCACCAUGUCAACUCUGUUACAGGGAAGCCCAGCAGAGGGAAUUG